GGUAGCAGCACAGAGAAGAGGAAGUGCCAGCCAGAUUCGCCUGGUGAAGUUAAAGAGAAAGCUUGGAUAGGCUAUUUUGGCCAAUAAGCAUCACUCCAGGGGUUGAAAUGAGGAUUUCAUCUAGGGUUACAGAAGCUGAAAUUCCAGGAGAAGAUACAAAACUGAGUGCUGAAAGGAAAAUGAAGGGGGUGCAUGGAAGAAAACUGGCCUGCUUUCGAGGACAUCAUCAGAGCCCAGAGUUCAACAGAUCAUGAACACUUCGAGACAAAUGAAGACAGGUGCAAUCUCCUUGAAGAAAUAAAAUCUAAGUACCAACAUCCCUUUUGAGUCAAGAAUCUCCUCUCUUAAAAAUGUAAAGCUAUUGAUCAGGGAGGGAAGUGAAUUAAGCAGAGCAUUUUUGACCAAUGGCUGUAUACUUCCUCCUCCCUAACUCCCAAACUCCAGACACAACUGCAGUAACUCCUGAGAUUCUUAUGGAGCAGGAGAGCAGAUAAAUGGAGGAGAUGAAGCAUGAGGACUGAAUAUGGAAAUUUGGGUGCUAUAUAUUUAAUAUUGACUGAUAUAAAUCAACAUGCAUAUAUCAAUGUGUCACACUUUCCAGUUUCUAGGCAAAGAUCUUUGGUGCUGAUCACUCCACCCUCUGUAUACCAGAUAAUUGUGGCCCCCUCUCUCUCUAAGCAAAGAUGGCAGGGAUUGUGAGGUGAGGGUGGGCUUGGUAGAAUGAUUGCAGAAUUUUAAAAAAUAUAUAUAUAUCUCUCUAUUUGUUUCCAUAAUGCAAUCAUUACUCUACAUGCUGUUUUGGAACUUUUUCACUUAAUAUAACAUGACACUUUCUACUUGAUAUACUAUAGAUCAUAAAAUAAUUCAUUCUCUCUAUAUUUUUGAUGACUUAUUAAGUUGCUUUGCUGAGCAUUCAGGACACAAUAAUGAAAAAAUGAGUAUAUACGUGGCUCUCAAGGACUUGAUGGUGCUGUUUCUCGUGUCUGUAAUUUAUUAUUUGAAUCAUUUCCACAAGUUGUGCAAUAGAUAUUAAUGUUAUUUUUCUCCCCAUGGUUCUUGACCCAAGUUUAAACCCGUAGUAAGAACAGAGACAGAGUUUGGACCCAGAUUGCAUUCCAAAAUGCAUGUUCUUACAAUAUAUGUUUUAUAUGUAAUGCUAAAGUUGA